UGGGGAAUAUUGGGCAAUGGGCGAAAGCCUGACCCAGCAACGCCGCGUGAGGGAAGAAGGUUUUCGGAUUGUAAACCUCUGUCCUUGGUGAAGAAAGAGAUGACGGUAGCCAAGGAGGAAGCCCCGGCUAACUACGUGCCAGCAGCCGCGGUAAUACGUAGGGGGCGAGCGUUGUCCGGAAUGACUGGGCGUAAAGGGCGCGUAGACGGCUGUCUAAGUCUGGAGUGAAAGUCCUGCUUUCAAGGUGGGAAUUGCUUUGGAGACUGGAUGGCUUGAGUGCGGAAGAGGUAAGUGGAAUUCCCAGUGUAGCGGUGAAAUGCGUAGAGAUUGGGAGGAACACCAGUGGCGAAGGCGACUUACUGGGCCGUAACUGACGUUGAUGCGCGAAAGCGUGGGGAGCGAACAGG
rnacentral:rRNA from 2 species